rnacentral:rRNA from 1 species
UACGGAGGGUGCAAGCGUUAUCCGGAAUCAUUGGGCUUAAAGGGUCCGCAGGCGGAUUUAUAAGUCAGUGGUGAAAGCCUACAGCUUAACUGUAGAACUGCCAUUGAUACUGUAAGUCUUGAAUGUGGUCGAAGUGGGCGGAAUGUGUAGUGUAGCGGUGAAAUGCUUAGAUAUUACACAGAACACCGAUAGCGAAGGCAGCUCACUAGGCCAUUAUUGACGCUCAGGGACGAAAGCGUGGGGAGCAAACAGG